GACGAACGCUGGCGGCGUGCCUAAUACAUGCAAGUAGAACGCACAGUUUAUACCGUAGCUUGCUACACCAUAGACUAUGAGUUGCGAACGGGUGAGUAACGCGUAGGUAACCUGCCUGGUAGCGGGGGAUAACUAUUGGAAACGAUAGCUAAUACCGCAUAAUAUUAAUUAUUGCAUGAUAAUUAAUUGAAAGGUGCAAUUGCACCACUACCAGAUGGACCUGCGUUGUAUUAGCUAGUAGGUGAGGUAACGGCUCACCUAGGCGACGAUACAUAGCCGACCUGAGAGGGUGAUCGGCCAAACUGGGAAUGAGACACGGCCCAGACUCCUACGGGAGGCAGCAGUAGGGAAUCUUCGGCAAUGGACGAAAGUCUGACCGAGCAAAGCCGCGUGAGUGAAGAAGGUUUUCGGAUCGUAAAGCUCUGUUGUAAGAGAAGAACGGGUGUGAGAGUGGAAAGUUCACACUGUGACGGUAUCUUACCAGAAAGGGACGGCUAACUACGUG
rnacentral:rRNA from 1 species